UCCUCCCCCAUGCCGUCAUGGGCUCCUGAGGGUGGUACCCUGGCCGAUGCAUCUCUCUCUCACUAGUGCCUGGCCCAGGGCUUGGCCAAGAGAGGAGGCUUGAAUGAAUGAGAAGGGAAGAAAGGAGGGUCUCGGGUCACUUUAAACAGCCCUAGUUCCUGCACCCCUCGGUUAUCCCGGGUCCCUGAUCUGUCUGAGCCCUCCCCUAGCCUGGCUCCUACCAGCUCCUCACAGCAGGAUGCGCGAGGAUUUGGUUUAGGUCCCCACUCCCGAAAAGGGGAUCCCAGGUUGUCCCCCAGUGUCCAGGUAGCUCCAGCCACAUCAGCAGAGUCAACAGGAUGUGCUGUACCAUGGCAGAUAAUCAGUAAGCAUCUAUUGAAAUCGCUGUGUGACCUUGGGACUGCCACAAGGGAGAGGGAUCAUAUGGAUUCCUGUAGCCCAACGAGCAGGAUGAAAAUGGGUGAAGGAAGGUGGAGGUCGAUGAAAAUGCUGGGCAACGCACUGAGCAUAGAGCGUCUCUAGAAUGGAAGGGGCUGCCUUAGGAGACAGCGAGUCCCCUGUCAUUGGAGAAAAAGAGAUGGAAUCCCAGGGUUUUUUUCGAUUUCUCAGAGCACCUCUGCUCUCUGACGUGUGGGAUCUGCACAGCUGGGCCAGCCACUGAAGUAGGACACGCAAGAUUGACUCACCGUUGGUCAGAUGAAGCCAGGCCCAGGCUGGUAUCCUCAUCUGUAUGGUGACAAUAUUACCUGGGGCCGUUGUGGUGAGGAAGAAAAUGGUAUUUGCACACCAAGUGCGUGGGACAUGUGUCCAGUGAGUGACAGCUGUGUUGUUAGUGGAAUGCAAGGAAAUGUGUGGGAGCCAGUCUGUGCCAUGAUGACAAACUGUGCCUCAGUUGUCUGCCCAUCCCUAAAACUCAACUGACGUGUGCUCGAGGCCUAUUCUAUGUUCGGCACCCAGAGCGAAGAUCCUGUGCAUUAGAGUAUUGUUCUGCAGCUCUACAAUCCGGAACCUUUAUGACAUUCUUCAGUCCUGAGUCAGUUAUUGAAAUAUGAGUCUAAGACUACCUGAUUCUGUAAUCUAUCUCCUAAUUCUGUGGUUCGGUGAAGCUGGGACCAAGCAUUUAUUUGUGCCGGGCACGCACUACGCUUCUUUACAAACAUUACUUCAUUUACUCGUACAAUCCCGUGGAGGGAGAUAUUUCCAUCCCCCUUCUGCAGGCUCGGAGAGGUAAAGUGAUGUGGCCAAAGUCACACAACUAGUUCGUGAUGCACCCAAGAUUUUAA